AAAAAGGCUUCCUUGGAAGCCAAGAUCAGAUUAUUAACAUAGCCAU
rfam:Ficedula albicollis isolate OC2 chromosome 2, whole genome shotgun sequence.